GGGUGUGUUGCUGAUGUAAAAUUGCAGGCCCUUUCCCAAAAAUCAUCUGCUACUGCAUGUGUCGCUUGCUGCUGUUCUAAUGGUGGCUGGUCUCCUAUACAUAGCGAUAUUCCUGUUCAUGUCGCUGGCUGUAGUUUCUCUAUGUUAACCACGUUGGAAGCCUAGCACUACUAUCUUGCACUAGCCUAUAUAUGAGCAUCUCGGGCCAUUGUUAAUAGAUGGGAGUAGUAUUAAUUGUUUUGAUUAAGAUGCUGACGCCUUAGAUUAUACUGGAGCAUGUGUUCAUCUUUUUUCUUUUUCUGCUACGUGCUUUUCCACACAUCUGAAAUUCCUCCGGCAACACUCCCCAACAGGUUGUUUCCCCAUUUCUGUGGAUCGGCGAGGAUACAAUGUGCUUCUCCUGCUCGCUUGGGUCAAUGGGUGAUUUGACUGCUGAAGUUGACUAGUAAUUAUCUACUAAAUUUUCCAAGGAUAAGCUCGCUUCUACAUUUUCAUAUAUACCAGCUUCUGUUAUUUACAUAUCAGAUGCUCUGACUAAAUCAUCUUUUGUGUUUCAGAGACUGCAAAUUCUACUAUGUACCUUCAGCAGAAUUAGGUGUUGAAAAUGUUGUUCCUCCUAUGGAUCGUUGAUUCCACACUUUUGUCUGCAUUUAUGAAUAAUGCAUAUCCAGUACCAUGCUCUAAUAAUUUUUCAUCAAUUAUACUGCCUAUAUUACAACAGAAUUAAUGAAGUUCAACUUUGAGAAAGCAAUAAGUCCAAAUGUAUAUGGAAAAACUCUAAAAAGACAAUGACCAAAUUUUUUUGUUAGUGAAGUUCAAUUUGGAAAUACAUGAUAAAAAAGGUAUUCUUUUUUUUACAAUAAAAAAGUAUUAUGUAUUGUUGGUUUCACCAACUAGUCACUCUCUCACAAACAUUCUGUUACUGCUUCCCUUCUACUUCAUGAAAUUGUAUACAAAAAGAACAAUGAAUUUCAAAAUUAAAAGCAAAAAAGCAAGCAUUUCUUAAAGACAAAGAAAGUGUGUGCGAAGUUCAUAUUUUUUGUCGUGGAUGGUCCAAAAUGUUCGCUAAUGGAAAGGCACACCCUGGGUUUCCAAAAAAUGAUUGUAAAAAUGAUUGUGCAGAUUUUCUGUUACCCCAUUUUUAGUUACUGAUUGAAGAAAUUUUUGUUCAUUAGGUGAAAGAACUUGAUUUCUUUUGUUCCUUUGUGGAUGAAGAAGGUCACCACAGAGGUAGGGAGAAGGUCACCAUAAGACAGGGAGAAGGUCACAUAAGGUGCAGAAAGAAUGUCAGAGUUUAGCAACAGGGUGUGUGAUCUUUGUGUUGUUUUUGGGGAGCAAAUCAUGGGUAUGCGAUCUCACAUCCCGUGUGUUAUUGAGAUGGCCUCCCUUAGCCUCAAACCAUUUUCCUACAAAUAUGAUAGCCUCAAUGCUACCGUCAUGUGUAAAGAAAAUUAGAUGUGUACAUGUACACAACCUACAACAACUUUACGGGGAGUUGAUGGAUUUAUCCAGUGGUUGUUGCUGCCACUACUGAUUUUUUUCUUGAGAUGGUCUUCAUCACCAAUCAAUAAUUCACUUGUUUCUUGGUUGCAUCUAGUUCCCUUGCUCCACCUCAACACUGAUUCCUUCAGCUAGAUCUCCCUUGACCAUCACCAAUCAAUAAUUCACUUGUUUCUUGGUUGCAUCUAGUUCCCUUGCUCCACCUCAACACUGAUUCC
rnacentral:lncRNA from 1 species